rnacentral:rRNA from 1 species
UGCCAGCAGCCGCGGUAAUACGGAGGGUGCAAGCGUUGUUCGGAAUUAUUGGGCGUAAAGCGCGUGUAGGUGGAUGAUUGGAGUUGAUUGUGCCAUUCCAAUGGGAUGCAUUGGGUUUGCAAUCAAUACUCUUCAUCUUGAGGUCAAAAGAGGAAAAUAGAAUUUCUAGUGGAGAGGUUAAAUUCUUAGAGAUUAGAAGGAAUAUCUAAAGCGAAGGCAAUUUUCUGGUUUGAACCUGACACUGAGGUGCGAAAGCGUGAGGAGCAAACAGGAUUAGAUA